CACCUCUAGAGGGGCAGGGAGAGAAGGAGGGAAGGCAGCCGAACCCCCUGCCCACUGCUGACCUCCCCGGAGCGGAGCAGGUGGGAGAGUCCUGGGGCCAUGCUGGAGCCAGGGGGCGGGGUGGGGGCGGUGUUUGCACCUCAGGGUCUUGGAGUCAAGCUAGCCCCUAGGAGGGGUCUGGGCAGAAUUUCUUGUCUAAUAGGAGAAGUGGGGGUGGGAAGAGGGGACACAGCCAAGCAGAGGACCCUAAGGCCACUCUUCUCACUCUGUUUGCCAGGGUGAGUCCAGGAGCAAGAAGCAGUUUGUCCUGCUUCCCACGUUGGCCUCUGCCUCCAGUAUCCACCGGGCACCCCAACUCAACCCCCAGUUCAUGCAUAACCAGGCUCUGGAGCCCAACUGCCAGCACUGGUAUCCCAGCUCUCCCACCCCCCAGCUGUAUGACCUUGGGCUACAGCCUCAGACUCCUCUUCUGUAAAAUGGGGCUGUGGUCUAUUUCAUAGGGUGGUUGUGGGGAUAGUGGUUCCAUGUUUGCACACAAUGUCUGGCACGUGGUAAGAGCUUGCUAAAACAUUUGCUUUCAUCAGCCCUCCAAUCCUGGUGGACCUGACCCCUGCCUCUGCCUCACUGCCACUGCCUUUGGCCUGGAGGAUAGUGUAGCAUCCACCUUUGUCCCCGCUGCUGGGUCCAAGGCCAAGGAGUCGAGGGAUCCUGCACAGAUGCCUCUACUUGAGCCUCUAUCUCAUUGGGCUGUAAUUGAUGCAUCUUCUCAGCUGUUUCUCUUCCUGGGCCAUGAAUUCCUUGCCACUGGGUCUCAGUUCUCUCAGCCCUCAGUGCUCAGCAUGGUGCUCAACUUGAAGAACAUAGGUGCUCAAGUCAUUCAGCCAACACAUUUAAAUAUGGGGGAUUUACUGUGAGACGGGGAAACUGAGGCAUGGGGAGGGGUGAGCUGGCCCAAGGCAAGUCUGGAAGGAGGACCCUGUCUCCUGACCCCUGAUGCAGCCCGAGGCUCAGAAAGGAGAUGGACACCUGAAGAUAAGGGCCUGGGAAGGAGGGGCACAGGGUGGUUACCUUGGAUGCCCAUCUCCUUGCGACACCACUGGAUGAAGUUGGAGACAUUGUCCCGGGCCUGGAAGGUGCCCGGCUGGGCAGCCCCAUUGCAGGAAACCCCCAUCCGAGGCAAGGGAAUCCUUUGGGCUCGGGCAGGUUCCUCUGCCAGGAAGGCCAGGGCGGCCUCAGUGAUGGCAUUGGCAUGCUGGCACAGCACCAGGCCCGUCUCCAGCACCUGCAGGAAGUUGGCCGUGUCGAUGUCCAGCCCGUAGAGAUCCCGAAGCCACUCGGCCAGGUCCUCCUUCAUGGCCUCCAGGUGGAGGUUCCCGGAAAUUAGAGAAGAUGAGCCCAGCCCCAGAGAGAACCAUAUGCCUCAGCCAGUCAUGGCAGAGUUAAAAUGGAAGUUCCUGCCAAGGUGCCAAGAUCCAGUAUGUGCAGCAAACCACAAAAGGAGUAAGGCCACAUGCAGAAUUUAUCUGGGCGUUAUCCAAAGACAGGGAGAGAAACAGACAGAUGGGCUUCAAUCAAAGAACUGAAUACAUAUCCCCAGUCAUCAGGGGGACUCAGUGAACUGAAGUCUGACUCCAGCAUGGAAAACUGAAAAUGUGAAAUACAGUCCGGUUAGGUGCUCCAUGGCAGGAACGAAGGAGGUUGGCUACACCGAACUCAGGGGGUAUCUUCUCAUAGUUUGAACAAAGAAUGCAUGCCUGCUUCCUUUGGACCGCUUGUCUGGCCCCUAUCUCGGACUUCUCAAGUGAACUGAUAAAUUUUAUAAGAUUUGAGCCAUUAUUAGUAGGGCAUUCUGAUACAUGACCAGCCAUACAUAUCCUAAUUGACUUGAUUGAUGUUCAAAGUGUAAGAGGCCCCAUUCUCUUUAUAUGAACAGAAAAUGUUUUUACAGCUAUUCCCACUUGGGUAGCACUUACACACAACCUUAUUAGAUAUCUCUCCUUGUAACUUAUCUUCAUUAUUCAGCUAAAACAAAUACUGCUUCUCUGUGUAACCUAGUUAUUGGAAGUUAAAGAGCUGCUUAUCCUAUUAAUUUAAAAAUUAGCAUUUACUGAGAGGAGGGUAUAGCUCAAGGGAUAGAGUGCAUGCUUAGCAUGCUUGAGAUCCUGGGUUCGAUACCCAGUACCUCUUCUAAAAAUAAAUAAACCUAAUUACCUCCCCUCACCAAGAUAAAAUGAUACAAUAGUAAAUGAGUAAAAUACUUUUAAAUUAAAAUUUACUGUGAAAAUCGAAAAGUUGUCGCUUUACGUUUGAUAACUGACCUCAUUUUGAGCUCUGGAAGUGAUUUCUGUGAAUGGCAGAAAAUCAUGCUUGAGCUUGCCGAUGAAGUUUAGUUCAUUCUCUUCUGGUUUUAAGUAGUGUCUCUUGGAUACAGAUCCAGUUGAUUCUGAAG